AGUGAACGCUGGCGGUAGGCCUAACACAUGCAAGUCGAACGGCAGCACAGUAAGAGCUUGCUCUUACGGGUGGCGAGUGGCGGACGGGUGAGGAAUACAUCGGAAUCUACUUUUUCGUGGGGGAUAACGUAGGGAAACUUACGCUAAUACCGCAUACGACCUACGGGCGAAAGCAGGGGAUCUUCGGACCUUGCGCGAUUGAAUGAGCCGAUGUCGGAUUAGCUAGUUGGCGGGGUAAAGGCCCACCAAGGCGACGACCCGUAGCUGGUCUGAGAGGAUGAUCAGCCACACUGGAACUGAGACACGGUCCAGACUCCUACGGGAGGCAGCAGUGGGGAAUAUUGGACAAUGGGCGCAAGCCUGAUCCAGCCAUACCGCGUGCGUGAAGAAGGCCUUCGGGUUGUAAAGCCCUUUUGUUGGGAAAGAAAAGCAGCAGGUUAAUACCCCGCUGUUCUGACGGUACCCAAAGAAUAAGCACCGGCUAACUUCGUG
rnacentral:rRNA from 1 species